rnacentral:rRNA from 1 species
GACAGAGGGUGCAAACGUUGCUCGGAAUCACUGGGCGUAAAGGGCGUGUAGGCGGGCAGGUAAGGCGGGCGUGAAAUCCCUGAGCUCAACUCAGGAACUGCACUCGAAACUACUUGUCUUGAGUACCGGAGAGGAAAGCGGAAUACCUGGUGUAGAGGUGAAAUUCGUAGAUAUCAGGUGGAACACCAGUGGCGAAGGCGGCUUUCUGGACGGUAACUGACGCUGAGACGCGAAAGCGUGGGGAGCAAACAGG